UACGAAGGGGGCUAGCGUUGUUCGGAUUUACUGGGCGUAAAGCGCACGUAGGCGGAUUCUUAAGUCAGGGGUGAAAUCCCGAGGCUCAACCUCGGAACUGCCUUUGAUACUGGGGAUCUUGAGUUCGGGAGAGGUGAGUGGAAUUGCGAGUGUAGAGGUGAAAUUCGUAGAUAUUCGCAAGAACACCAGUGGCGAAGGCGGCUCACUGGCCCGAUACUGACGCUGAGGAGCGAAAGCAUGGGUAGCGAACAGG
rnacentral:rRNA from 1 species